UCGUGAAUGCGGAUCUCCAGCUGUACACUCGGUAGUUGUCCAACACGGGCUAUUGCUUCAUACGCAUGGUGGUUUCGUUCUCUUACCAAUAACUCUCCAAAAGGCUUAUGAAUCCGCGAAUACACGCUUUUUGCAAACGAUGAAUAUGCUGAAUUGCGCGGCUGAGGAGACCUGCGGUUGAUACCAGUACAAACUCACAGGUUUACAUUUUCAUUGGUACACUUUCUUCAUUGGAGAGAGUCCUCUCGAAAGUGCGCGCUCUCCUCUAGUGGGAAAAAAAGGGAUAUUACGGAUUCUACGUGCAGUUUUUCAUUCUGAGGACAACAUGCCUCAGACACCACUGCUGACCGGCAUGCUGGUCUCCAGGGGUUACAAUAAGAACCUGUACCAGAGUCAGAACCAGACCAAGGAGGAGGGAUACGGGAACGCAGGACUGUGUUACCGCGACAACGCCCUUGUGUCCGGCUCGCUGGAGGCCCUCAUACACCACCUGGUCCCUAGUAUGGACUACUACCCUGACAUGACGUACUCUUUCACCUUCCUGCUCUCCUCUCGUCUAUUUAUCCACCCCUACGAGCUCAUGUCCAAGGUGUGUCACCUGUGUGUGGAGCAGCAGAGACUGAGUGACCCUCAGGCAGACAAGAUGAGGAUCAGGAAGAUGGCUCCCAAGAUCCUCCGGCUGCUCCAGGAGUGGACGGAGACGUUCCCCUACGACUUCAGAGACGAGAGGAUGAUGAGGAGCCUGAAGGAGUUAACCCAACGCAUGGCCUCAGGAGAUGAGCUGUACAGGAAGGUGGUCCAGCAGAUGAUUCAGGUCCUAAUCAGGAAGCUGACUACUCUGAGCCAGUACGAGGAGGCCCUGGUCAAGGUCAAUGCUACGGCCACAGACCGACUGACCGCGCUGAAGGCCAAGCCUCAGGCCAUCCAGAGAGACAUGCUGUCCGUCUGCAAUGACCCCUUCACCGUGGCACAGCAGCUCACGCACAUAGAACUGGAGAGACUGAGCUACAUCGGACCAGAGGAAUUCAUCCAGGCCUUUGAGAAGAAAGACCCUCUUGAUAAUGAUAAGAGCUGUUUCAGCGAUCACAAGAAGGCUAGCAACCUGGAGGCGUAUGUAGAGUGGUUCAACAGACUCAGCUUCAUGGUGGCCACAGAGAUCUGCAUGCCCGUGAAGAAGAAGCAGCGAGCGCGAGUCAUCGAGUUCUUCAUCGACGUGGCGCGGGAAUGUUUUAACAUCGGCAACUUCAACUCUCUCAUGGCCAUUAUCUCUGGGAUGAACAUGAGUCCUGUGUCUCGACUGAAGAAGACCUGGAGCAAAGUCAAGACGGCCAAGUUUGACAUCUUGGAGCAUCAGAUGAAUCCUUCCAGUAACUUCUACAACUACAGAACAGCGUUGAGAGGAGCAACACAGAGGUCCAGAACAGCCAACAGCACGAGAGAGAAGAUUGUCAUCCCGUUCUUCAGCCUGCUGAUCAAAGACAUCUAUUUCCUGAACGAGGGAUGCUCUAACAGGAUGCAGAACGGACAUGUAAACUUUGAGAAAUUCUGGGAGAUGGCGAAGCAAGUUAGCGAGUUCAUGGUUUGGAAGAAGGUGGAGUGUCCGUUUGAGAAGGACCGUAAGAUUCUCCAGUAUCUGUUCACCGCACCGGUUUUCAGCGAGGACAGUAUGUUACACCCCUCAAAAAACGUCCCCCCCUUAACGCCACAAUGCUGCUCACAUGUUGUAAAAGCUCUGUGUCUGGCCUCCUAUGACAGUUCUCUCUCUUCUCAGCUCUGUGUCUGGCCUCCUAUGACAGUGAUGCUGAUGGUUCUCUCUGUUCUCUCUCUUCUCAGCUCUGUGUCUGGCCUCCUAUGACAGUUCUCUCUCCUCUCAGCUCUGUGUCUGGCCUCCUAUGACAGUUCUCUCUCUUCUCAGCUCUGUGUCUGGCCUCCUAUGAUAGUUCUCUCUCUUCUCAGCUCUGUGUCUGGCCUCCUAUGACAGUUCUCUCUCUGUUCAGCUCUGUGUCUGGCCUCCUAUGACAGUUCUCUCUCUGUUCAGCUCUGUGUCUGGCCUCCUAUGACAGUUCUCUCUCUGUUCAGCUCUGUGUCUGGCCUCCUAUGACAGUUCUCUCUCUGUUCAGCUCUGUGUCUGGCCUCCUAUGACAGUUCUCUCUCUUCUCAGCUCUGUGUCUGGCCUCCUAUGACAGUUCUCUCUCCUCUCAGCUCUGUGUCUGGCCUCCUAUGACAGUUCUCUCUCUUCUCAGCUCUGUGUCUGGCCUCCUAUGACAGUGAUGCUGAUGGUUCUCUCUGUUCGCUCUCUUCUCAGCUCUGUGUCUGGCCUCCUAUGACAGUGAUGCUGAUGGUUCUCUCUGUUCGCUCUCUUCUCAGCUCUGUGUCUGGCCUCCUAUGACAGUGAAGGCCCUGAGAAUAAUAUGGAGAAGGACAGAUGGAAGUCUUUGAGAUCUACUCUGCUAAGUAGAGUCUAGAGUUUCUGAAGGAGGAACCAAGUCCUAACCCCGUCUGACAACCAAGCCGUGUCCAAAUAACAGAAUCCCUGUUUGGAUGGGAAAACGACAAUCUGACCUGUUCUGUUCAGCAGAACAGGAACUUUUCUGUUCUCCGGUCAUGGAGAGUUCGGUCUUCUUCAUGUUGUAUGUUUCCAGGAAAGCUUUUUUCAUCUCUUUGAAUGAAUUUCUAUACUUUUUGUAUUUAAAACAAAUAAAUAAUAAGUUACGACCAUCGUGAGGAGGAGAGGAAUGUCCAGGGAAAUGCUUUUUUUGUUUGUUGUCCUUUGGCCACGUCUGCCGAAAACGUAACAAAACACACACCGUGUAUUUACACCGGGUGACACUGUUGAUGAAAAUCUCUGGAUAUUUUGAAGAUGUAUUUGACUUUCUACAGGAGUUAAGAGUUGGCUGCUGGAUGGCCAACUGAUUCAGUCCUAACGUGUACAACGAACAGGCUGCUCUCUCUCUCUCUCUCUCUCUCUCUAUUUAUCUCUAUCUAUCUCUCUCUCUCUAUUUAUCUCUCUCUCUCUCUCUAUUUAUCUCUAUCUAUC